CGCUAGUCAGUCACCCAGCACAAAACAGAGAGGUAAGGUCCAAUUCACAAAACCAAAGAAGGGAAAAAUGGGUUCUUCACUCUCAUUUUCAGUUCAAUCUGUAUUGAUUUCUACUGGUGUUUUGUUCUUAGCUUUGCUUCUCAAAGCCUCUGUUCCAUUAGUGGUUGAUUUCUCUGUUUAUCAAGCUCCUCUUAUAUGGAGCUCACUCGCUUCAUGGCUUAAACCUCCUUAUCUUUAUGUUAUUCUCAACUGCAUCAUCAUCACUAUUGCUGCCUCCUCUCGAUUCCACCAUACCCAUGGUGCCGACAAUGAACAGCAGGAGCAAAUACCUGCUGUUCGGAAAAUCUCAGCUCGUGACCCGGAUCAGUUCCACUACGAUAUGAAGAUUUCGGCUCCGGAGUCGACGGUGGUGGUGGCGGAGGAUGUAUGUGAGCAAAGAGAGGAGAAGGCUAGUGCAAUUCUUGUUUUUGAGGAUAAGAGUACUGUGUUGGUGAACGGUUCUGUGGAGGUUGAGGAUAAAGAGGAUGAGGAUGACUUUGUAAUCUCAAGGUCCACGUGGAUUCCUCCGAAGAGGAUGGAUUCGUCGGAGAAUCUGAUGGAGCUUCUUCUACCGGCUGAGAAACCUCUGGUUUCUGCUCGCUUUGGUCACCGGAAACCAGUUAGAGCUAGUCCUGAAGGUGGAAGAAGAGCGCUGAGGGUUGCGAAGCCAAAACGUCAGGAGACGUUGGAGAACACGUGGAAAACGAUAACGGAGGGCAGAGCGAUGCCGUUAACAAGGCACUUGAAGCAAUGUGAGACGUUCGAGAAUCACGGCCGUCGAGUCAACGUUUGUGAAGCGGACCCGUCAUCUCCACCGAAGAAAUCAGAGAAGUUCAAGUACAGGACUAAUUACCAGCUGCCACCCGUGGGCAACUCUCCUGCAUCAGGGAAGCUGAGAAAAGAGCCGUCAGUGAGUCAAGACGAGUUGAACCGCCGAGUGGAGGCGUUCAUUAAGAAGUUCAAUGAGGAGAUGAGGUUGCAGAGGCAAGAGUCGUUGAACCAGUACAAGGAAAUGGUUACUUGUGGAAGCCAUUAAUUAUAAUUGCUUACUACAAUGCAGUUUUUUUUAAAAAAAAAGAAAGGAAGGAUUUUGAUGGGUUUGCUUUUUACAGGAACAGGAAAUAUUUUGUUUCUUUUUUAAAAAAAUUUAUUCUCCGUAGGAGCUAGAAGUUGAAGCUAUAUGAAGUGUCUGUAAAGGAAGAAACUUAUUCUUGUUCUUUUAUUCACGUCUAAAGAGUGUUUAAAGAUUUGAUUCCAAUUUCUUUUUUAUCCAUCCUCUUCAUUUACUAUCAUCAUUAAUUUGGACAAGAUUGAUAUGAUUAGGGAGUGGGACAUUGAUUUUAAACUACCGGUUUGGCCCUAAAUCUAAAUUAUCAUCUACAUGGUGACGGGACUUUGUUUUGUCAUGCAGGUCCUCGGCGGACCCCCUAUGCCUCGGGGUCUGGCGGCAUUGAUGGAAUUCAUAAUCGUAGCCACCUUAUGCACUCAUGGGUAUUUUGCAUCAUUUCUCAAGCAGAACUUGCAAACCAAUUGUGAUCCAGCUGUCCCUCGGAUCAUUAUGGAAUUCAUGGGAGAUGUUUAGGAGCUUAAAUUCAUGCCUUCAAGCUACACACCAUGGUCCCUUCUAUAUCUGUUCAGUCGGAGGAAAACAGUAAGAAGGUGAAAGAUAUAUCAAUUUAAAAGUUUUAUAAACAAAAGAUACAUAGGCAUGGUGGAAAAUAUUCGAAGUCCUUAGUUCAGUACAAAUCAAGAAUUAUCAUAAAAAUUACAAAGGGCUACUUCAAGUGUAACUAUAGCUGUUGGUACAUUAUAUGAUCUGUCAAAAUUUCAUCCCUACUUGAAUAACUCAACUUCAAAUUUCAGGGUAAUCAUGCACGUUUUAGCCUCUUUAUUCUCUCAAGGGCACCAAGAUUGCCUGCACCACCACCAUCCUUAUCCUUAGCAGCUGUGGUAUCAUCUCCAACCUUGUCUUCUUCAGUCUCUUCCCUCUUCCUGGCCAAUCCUCCAAAGACAGCAGAUGGAACAUCUUUUUGUGUAAUUUCCACUUUUUCAUCAUCUUCAGAGUCGCUUUCUUCUGGCAGUUCAAUGUCUUCUUGGUUUGCAUUAACCUUCACCGCAUCAGGCCGUGAUUCCACCCCAGCACUCACAAAGCCCACCUUUCUGCCACUAUCUUUAGCUGUAGUAUUAUUGGCCACUGGGGCUAAUUGCCUCUCUAGAGCAACCAUUUCAUCUUCAGGGACCCCAGCCUGUUUCAAUUUGUCUUUUGCCUCGUCAAUAUUUAACCUUUGAUCCUUCUGCAUUAAAUACUCCGGCAGAAUGAAAUGUGUCUGGCUAUAGCUUGCAGAAACACUUCGUUUAAUACGCAGCAUUUCUCGGAAAGUAUCUUCAUUUCCAUGUUGCACCUCAAAUUCAUGCCAUUCAUUCCAAAAAUCUGCAUCAGAUCUUGGAUCAGCAAACUGAGAUGCAAAUACAUAUAUUCCACGAGCUCGAUCAAUUUCUCCCAGGCUCUUCUCCAACUCAGCAUACUUCAAGCACAUUGUCUUUACAUCUUUGUCUGGAAGACCAGACUCUAUUGCUUGUUCAUAUAUUUCUCUUGUUUUGGGGACACCAAAUAUCUCAGCAGCACGAGCAAUAUAAAUUUUAUACAUCUCCAGUUUUUCAUUAUUUGGGACAGCCUUAGUUGCUUGAUCAUAAACUUUCAUAGCUCGCUUUGCCAAACCAUAAUCCUCUUCCAGCUUUGCAUACUGAAGAUACAAGGGUUUUACAGCAUCAGCAGGAGCCAUUUCAAUAGCAUGUUCAAACAACUCUCUUGCUCGUUCCAGUUUUGUCUUCCCAUAUCUCUUUACAAACUUUGAAAGAUAUGUGACCCAUAUGUCUUUCACGUGAGGGUACUUGAAUAUUUUCACACCCCUUUCAUAUACCUUGAAUGCAUCUUCAAAGUACUUAUGUUCCUGAACAAGCUCAAAUAAUAAGAGUUGGGUCUUUUCAUACCAAUAAAAGUAACACCUAAAAGAGACAAAACAGUAGAAUUAUAGACGUCUGUACUUCUAGAAGUAAUGCAUAAUUGAUAAUGAUUUGUGGUGUGGCUAUUCUCAGGUCCAAUAUCCGCUCAUAAACAGCUCGAGUGGACUCCAAGGUCCCAAGACCCUCUUCCAAAUCAACAUAAAAGGUCCAGAGUCUCAAGGACUUAUGCAACUUCAUCUGGACAGGUUCAUUGCCAUCAGCAGCCACUCUUCUUUUGACCUCAACUGAUGGUUCUGCUGUAGCCCGCCUCAACAGCUCAAGUGCACCUUUGAAAUUUUUGUGUCUAAUUUCCAUUUCAGCCCACUCACACCAAAUGCUAGCUAGAUUAUCCACACUCCUAUAGUUCACUUGCACUGCCUUGUCAAAAAUUACUCUAGCAUUGACAAGAUCAUUGUGAUUCUCAUACAACUUAGCAAAAGCAACCCACAAAGUGUGGGGCUUUCCUAAUGCUUUCAUUGGAUCAACUGUUCUUACUGCCUCAGUGUAAGUUAGUAUCUGUUUAGUUGGAUUACCCUCAAAAAGCUUAACCCUCCUGUGCCAUUGUUCCACAUUAUGUGGAUUUUGUCGCAAAAGUACACUAUUGGCCAAUUCUGGCCUUCUAUCCAUAAGAUACUCCAACCGGGCCAACAUCAAAUCCACAUCAUUAUCAUCAUGUAACCAAAACCCACUAAGUAUCUUCUUCUCAAACUUAGAAUUCACUUCCAAACGAACAUCUUCAUCCUGCAAGGAACCACUCUCCUCCAACACAUCCUCUUCCUCAUCACUCAAGUCCAAAUUCUCCAUCUUAUGCGCAACCAUACUCUCUUCAAACUGUGAAUAUGCAUCAAAUAAAACACUAAAAUCUCUCACCGUAACCACCGUAGUCAUUCCCUCCUCAAAAAUAUCCCUUGCCUUCUCAAACAAACCCCUCCUGAUAUAAUAAUCAGCAAGUGACGUCCACAACCUGCCAACCUCAUCUGUAAACUUCCUAAUCCCACCCCUAAUAAUGGCGUCCACAUUCAACCCAGACACUUCCUUUGCAUGUCUAGUAAGCAAAUCACACAAUUCUAGCCACAAUGUAUGCUUUGUUUUCCCCUUUAUUGAAUAAAACUGAUCAUCAUUCAACACUGAAGCUAGUCUCUCAGCUGCUUCUUGCCAAAGACGAGAAUUCACCAAAAACUCAAUAAAAUCCUCAAUAUGACUAGGAUCAUACUUCAAGUACCUCCUAUAAACCCGAAGAGAAGUCUCAAUCGGCAUACCCUCUUGGCUCACAAACCUCAAAUAUAGCUCCCAAAUCCUAUCAUGCUGAGUGACAGGCAAUGCACAGAGUGCUCUAUCAAAAGUUCUACGUGCGCGGGUAAUCAAUUUUUGGUUGGUUAGGGUUUGCAAGUACAUGAUCCAAAUUCUGGGCAUUUUAUGCAUAGUAACCAAUGCUCUUUCAAAUGUAUUGUUCAGGGUUUCAUACUGGGAGUGAGUGACCGGUAGGUUUCUAACGAUUUCGAGACGCUCAGUAAGAUAUGCAUGCCAAAGCUUGUAGCUCCCAGGUAAAGCUUUGAGGGCUCUCUCAUAGAUAAUGAACCGCUUUUUGAAAGGUGCUUCACGGCGGGCUAUUAGGUAGCGCCACCAGAGCUUAAGGCUGAAUGGGUUACGCAACAGCUCCUCUUCGUAUAAGAGAUCAUCUUGAGAAGGGUAAAGCUCUCUAGAAAUUGACAUGACCGAACGAGAGUUGAAGAACUUAUGGAGCUAGAUAAACCCUCAACCUCUUAAUAUCACACAAAGUGAUUCUUGUGAACUCCUAAUCGACAAGAAAAAAUGGUUUUCCGAAUCCCCAAUUCCGGAGUCAAAGUGAAAUGCAGCAACUGACUGCUAUUAUAGAUUAAAACACCGAAGACAAGGGGAAAGUUACCUGAAAAUUUGCAGCGAAACCUUGAGAUCAAGAUGAGGAAACCGAGUUUCCCAAAUAGGAUUAAGCGAGGAACUGGAUUUCCUCUAUCUUUUCCUGUUAAAGCAAUCUGCCCCAGAAAGUGCACUCAGCCCCAGCAACAUCAAAAACACCGCAUAGAGAAGAUUUGAACCCCCAACAAAGGGCAAGAUUGAAAGAAGCCUAUUCCAUUGCAAACAGGCGCUAAAGACUUAUGUGGGAGAUGGAGUUCUACCGCUCUAG
rnacentral:misc_RNA from 1 species